GUGGCUGAGGACAAAUUUUUGGUACUGAGUUAGAUGGAGGGAGGGACCAGUCCUCAUGCAUAUGGAUGUGGUAUCUGUGUUACUGUAAGGACCUUUAAAACAAACAAGCAUUGGCCUUAGAGGACUACAUAGCUAUUAGCCUUGACCACCUAAUAAACAAACAAGGGUUUUUAGGGGUUGAAAUGAGAACAUGCAAGAAGAACAAGAUUUAGUGCUUUUCUUGAAAUUUGAUGGUAUACCAGGAAAUCAUGAUUAGGAGACCUUGAUUAUCAUCAAUAAAGUUAAGCUAAGUCAAAACAAAUGAACAAAGUUAAGCUAAGUCAUGAUGAGUUAUUUAAC
rnacentral:misc_RNA from 1 species